UACGGAGGGUGCAAGCGUUGUCCGGAUUUAUUGGGUUUAAAGGGUGCGUAGGCGGUCUUUUAAGUCAGUGGUGAAAGCCUCCAGCUUAACUGGAGAACUGCCAUUGAUACUGGAAGACUUGAGUACAGACGAGGUAGGCGGAAUUGACAGUGUAGCGGUGAAAUGCAUAGAUAUUGUCAAGAACACCGAUUGCGAAGGCAGCUUACUAGACUGUAACUGACGCUGAGGCACGAAAGUGUGGGGAGCAAACAGG
rnacentral:rRNA from 1 species